rnacentral:rRNA from 1 species
CAGUCGCCGCGGGAAUACGGAGGGGGCUAGCGUUGUUCGGAAUUACUGGGCGUAAAGCGCACGUAGGCGGCUUGGCAAGUUAGAGGUGAAAGCCUGGAGCUCAACUCCAGAAUUGCCUUUAAGACUGCCGAGCUAGUAGGUGAGAGAGGUAAGUGGAAUUCCGAGUGUAGAGGUGAAAUCCGUAGAUAUUCGGAAGAACACCAGUGGCGAAGGCGGCUUACUGGCUCAUUCUAGACGCUGAGGUGCGAAAGCGUGGGGAGCAAACAGGAUUAGAUACCCGGGUAGUCCCUGUCUCUUAUAC